rnacentral:pre_miRNA from 1 species
ACAACAACAUUCGGACCGUCGGUCUACCGAGCAAACAUCACCCGCUCGGUGGAAGAUCUUCCCUUUGUCGUUCAGC